rnacentral:rRNA from 1 species
GAUGAACGCUGACAGCAUGCUUAACACAUGCAAGUCAACUUGAAUUUGGGUUUUUAACUUAGGUUUGGGUGGCGGACGGGUGAGUAACGCGUAAAGAACUUGCCUCACAGCUAGGGACAACAUUUGGAAACGAAUGCUAAUACCUAAUAUUAUGAUAAUAGGGCAUCCUAUAAUUAUGAAAGCUAUAAGCGCUGUGAGAGAGCUUUGCGUCCCAUUAGCUAGUUGGAGAGGUAACGGCUCACCAAGGCGAUGAUGGGUAGCCGGCCUGAGAGGGUGAUCGGCCACAAGGGGACUGAGACACGGCCCUUACUCCUACGGGAGGCAGCAGUGGGGAAUAUUGGACAAUGGACCGAGAGUCUGAUCCAGCAAUUCUGUGUGCACGAUGAAGUUUUUCGGAAUGUAAAGUGCUUUCAGUUGGGAAGAAACAAAUGACGGUACCAACAGAAGAAGUGACGGCUAAAUACGU